rnacentral:rRNA from 1 species
UACAGAGGGUGCAAGCGUUGUUCGGAAUUAUUGGGCGUAAAGGGCGCGUAGGCGGUGCGGUAAGUCUGUAGUGAAAUCUCUGGGCUCAACUCAGAGUCUGCUGCAGAAACUGCCGUGCUUGAGUGUGGGAGAGGUGCGUGGAAUUCCUGGUGUAGCGGUGAAAUGCGUAGAUAUCAGGAGGAACACCAGUAGCGAAGGCGACACUCUGGGCCGGUACUGACGCUGAGGAGCGAAAGCGUGGGGAGCAAACGGG